CAGGAAGUGUCCUUUCUAAAGAACAGCAUUCUGGGUAUGAAGAUGUUGAUAAAAUUAUUUCAGUAAACUCUUCAGUAGGAGUCACCCCUGACUACUAUAAUGGCAUCACCACCACAGAAGGUCCACCAGAGCAACAAAUGUCACCAGAGGAUUAUGAUGACGCGAUCACUGCUGGUGGGAGACAUCAUGCUACAGAAGAAUUAUCAGAAAACUAUGAUGAUGUCGUCACUGUACAGCAGUUCUUCAAUGUUCAAACAGAUUAUGAUGAUGUGGGGGAGGAGCAUGGAAAACAUAGAGGAACUGUAUAACUGAAAGCACACCCACUGUCUCAAAUCCUUUUAAGGGUCCACAGUUUAAGUUUAAUGUUUUAUCUGCAAUCCACCGA